rnacentral:lncRNA from 1 species
UGGCAUCGAGGCUAUCCAUACUAUUUAAUACUGACAUGCAUGAUUUAACCGAGUAAGUGUCAUUUUGUUCAGCUGUUUUUUUCUUUGCUUCAGCAAUGCUGAGUGAUGCAUCUGCAAGACGAUCAAUUGCUAUUAUGGCAUCAUCAGCUGUACGUUUUUGUCCUCUUGUAGUUUCUUUUGAUCCACUUCCAGGGAAUUUCUUUUUCUCUGGCUCAAUGGCUGUCGACUUCUUAGUGAACACACCAGGGGAGCCAUCGUUUUCAUCAGACUCGAUUUCAUGUACUUCAACAUCCUUAUUGAGAUCAAUUUGAGAUGAUUUAGUUUUGCAUGCACCAUCUUUCCCUUUGCUAGAUACAGCACCAACUCCAGAUGCCGUUGAACUAGCACAUAUUUGUUGAAGAUCUUCCCAACUAGGCCACACCUUUUCUCGAUAUUCUUGGAGUGACUUAUCCUUCUGCAAGUUGUUAAUUUUUAUAUUAAUAAAUAUAAUAUACCAAUUUUAUAUGAAUCCUACUCGCACAAACUUACCUCAAUUAGUUCCUCCCAAGUUUCUUCUGAAGCUUUUAUCAUUUUGUCAUCGUUGUCCCAACCAAAUCCCGUCAGUUUAAGAAGUCUAUCCAUGGCAGCAUAGCAACUCCUGUAGUACUUAUGGCGAUUUUUCAAUUGUUGUAAUUCAAGUUUGUCUACUCUUGAAUCAUUGAAUUGUUCUAAGAUAUCAAGCCAUGCUUUCUUUGUGUAACCUGUUCCUUCUUUCCCUCCGUGUAAAGUUUGAUCUUUCAGUAUAGUGAGAAGUAUUUUGUCCUCCGACGAUUUCCAUACAUGCCUCUUUUUAUCUGGGUUUUCUUUCCUAUUUUUUUGGUCCUUCUGAUCAUCCAUAUUUAUCUACAAGAAAAUAAAAAAUUUAAAUGAGUUGUACUGCAUUCAUGAUAAUAAUAUUUCAACUGCAUUCAUGUGAUCUCUUGGCGUGUAUUCUUCUAAUUGCAGUAGACAAAUGGGGGUCUAGGACUGAGCUAAUCUUUACUGUUUUACCCAUGACAACAGUUACUACUAAUUGUUUGAUUUCUACGUGUAUUCCUAUGUUCUUUUCACAAUGUAGGUCGGCAAAGGAACUGAUGGCUUGUAUUUCAGUGAUCUACUGUUGGCUUACCAUUUGUUUUUAUAGAGGUAAGCUGCAUGUGGAUGUUGAAUUUAAAUUCGAGGGCCCCUUAUAUCCAGGAGUACACGGUUGGCCUACAUACUAGACUAUGAUACAUGUGUAUACAAUUUAGACUACAUCACAAACAUACAUACUUAUAUCGCACAGUUCAGAUUGGCCUAGUGCCUAUUAAUACCAUAUAAAUAUAUAAUUAGAGUUAGCGUGCCAUUUACUAUUUUUUCAUAUCUGGCAUGUACCUGGUUUCCAUGUACAGCAGCAAGUAACUAGUGUAGUGGGUUUCUUUUAUAAUCAAACAGAGGUGUGUUUCCAAUUAGAGAGAGGAAGGGACAAAUUGCCAAGUUGGUGGUUCUAGUUUCAUCUACGAAUUGGCUAUGUCAGAUUACCAGAGUUUUUUUUCUUUCUGCAAAAUGAGCUUCAUUACCAAAAAAAUGAAUCGAUGAACAAUACCAUGAAUUUGUAGAUCUACAACUUAUACAUACGAAUUUGUUGAUCAGGAUGAUUGAUCGAUGAACAAUACCAUGAAAUUUGUACAUCUACAACUUAAAUGAACUAAUUUGUUGAUCUGGAUGAUUGAUCAAUGGACAAUGUCAUGAAAUAUGUACAUCGGCUACAACUUAUAUUGACAGGAUGAUUGAUCUUACCAGGGUCGUGCAACUUGAUUGAAGAUGGGAAGAUGAUGAGAACCGCCUGAUGAAGACGCCGCUGAGAACCAGCGCCAGCGUCUCCCAGCCAGCGCCUGUGACUGGAAUUGACGGCCAGCCAGUUUAAUUAGCGAUGGGGCCUGUAUAUAAGCAAUGAAAAAGGCGCGAGGGCGAGCAGCAAAACGCAGAACUGGCGCCAGAAAAGUUGUUGAGAAGCGAGCGGGCGGGAAAAAGUUGUUGCGAUCACGCAUAUAGAAAUCGCGUUUGUGGAAAAACGGAUAAAACUCGUUUUUCUAUAAGCCCGAAUCUUGGGUUGUACAGUUCCAGGUUUCCUAUAAACGUGGAUUUGUUAUAGUAGCCAAACGAGGUUUUGUUUGGUUGAACCGUUUUCCUGGUUUAUAGAGUACGGAUUCUAUAUAUAUCUUCUAUCCAAACAACACCUUAGCGAUGCGGAAGCAAG